rnacentral:lncRNA from 1 species
CGGGUCCGCCAGUGGCCAAACGACCUGCCUGCAUUCAGCUCCAGGAUCCGGUGCAUGAAAAGUGAGAAAGACCCUACCGGCCUCGCCUCCUGGAAGCAAACCCCUGGGCUCUGUCUGACCUGACCAGCCUUUCCGAAGUUCCGGCGCAAACCCGCGGGCGGAAACUAAACGCUCUCUGCCAGGCGGUUCGCUCAGCCCGGCCCACUACGUCACACCCCGCAGGCCCUCUCAAGCCUUCUUGAUUGAUGGAGAACGAGCACAAGCGCUCCCGCCCCCUCCCCCGCGGGCCCUCCGGCGGCACUGCCCCGCCCACUGGCUGUCUGGGCCGAGUUUGGCCUGCAAGUUGGGGCGCUCUAGGGCUCAGACUCUGAGGCUGAGGGGGUGCUUUCCCGUCACGCCCAGGCGCAAGCCGUCGCCCCAAGUCUGACAGUGGCCAGCUUCCCUGCACACCCAGUUCUUGUCCAAUGCAGCCGACACAGGCCCCUUCCGCCCCUCAGCCCUCGAAAGGCCCCCAAGCCGCAAGCACCCCCGGAAAUGCCUCUUGCCCGGGCUCCCCUCGGUGUCGACAACCCACAAGCCAGGAGCCGGUCCUCGAGGACACGCAGACUCUGGGCCCGAACGCUGACGGGGCCUCCAUUGAUCCUGGUGUGCAGACCCCCGCGGGCCGGCCCGCCAAGUCCUACCGAGCCUUCCUGGGGCCGGGCCAGGACCGUUCCGGACCUCGCCGCGGGUCGCCUGGGUGUGAGGCUCACGCACGUGGCUCCCCCGUCCCGCGCCAGGACGCCCCUCACUCGCCACCCCCAGGCGUUCCCGCACGUGCGCCACCGACAGCAGCCUCCUCAGACCCCCACGGUCCUGCUUCUGGACCCCACCAGGGCCCCUGCGCCGCACUGAACGCCGCCCCACGGCCCUCGGCCCACCCACCGGCCCCGACCCUCGACCCUCUCACCGCCAGCCCUCAGCACCUCUCCAUAGCCUUAGCACUUUGCAUAUUCAAGGGAAAUUGGCCAAAUAACUUGAAUGGAUGUAUAAUACACCUUAAAAUUUUAACAAGAAUACAUAUUAUUCUGCAUAAAAUAUUUCCCUAGGUUAUUGAUCAUACAAAAAUGAUCCCAGACCUCUCUUGUACAUCUAUAAAUACCUUUCCUGCCAACUUCCCCUGGGAGCCCUGCUACAAACUACUAUGGUUUCUGGGUGCACCUGUGUGUGUUUCUGUCACCGUCCUCCAAGUCAGCGGCUUCUGCAUGAUGUACUAAAAAACACCAGUGUCAGGGAACCACCCAAACAUCUGCCAACAGGGGAACGGACAAGCCAACAGCAGUAUAAUCAUACAGCCAACUGCUACUCAGCAAUAAAAAUGACCAGCUACUGACACACAGAACAACAUGGAUAAAGCUCAAAACACUGUGCAGCAGGGAAGGCAUGAGACACAAGGGUGUGUGUUGCAUGGCUCCAUGUCAAACUGAUGGUUGCCUAGGGCCUAGGCACCUGAUGGAGAGGGACUGUGAGGGACACAGGAAACUUGUGAUGACAAUUGCCAUAGUUUCGAUAAGUGUGCCCCAGACUCCCUUGUGUUAAGGGCCUGGUCCAGUGCCUGCAGUGCUGUUGGGAGGUGGUGGACCCUUGGAGAGGCAGGACCUAGGUGGGUUUGGAGGCACACACCUGUGGUCCGAGCACUCUGGGAAGCUGAGGCAGGAGGAUCUCAAGUUUGAGCCCAGCCUGUACAGCUUAGUGACUUGUUAAGACUUUGUCUCAAAAUAAAAAAGCAAAAGGUCUAGGAGUGUAGCUCUGUGUGAAGGCCCAAUAUCACAAUCCCAGUAUCACACACACGCACAUACACACGCACAUACACACACGCGGUGGGGCUGUACAGAAGGCAGGUAGAUCACCGGGACAGUUGAAGGGGACACAGAGACGUUAGCUGUUUCCUGUGUUUCUUAGAGGCCACCUCCUCCACACACUCCUAUUCUGAUGUACUCUGCCACAACAGGGCCAAGGCAGUGAGUUCAAGUGACAUGGACUGAAACCUCCAGAACUGUGAGCCAGCAUCAACCUUUCCUCCUCUUCAGGUGACGAUCUUGGGUAUUCUGCAAGAGCAACAGAAAGCUGACUAACAUAGUGACAUUCUUCAUCCUAUGAGGGUCAUGCUUUCAUGUCUGUGUGUUUGCCUCAAUGCAACACAAUGCUUUGAUAAAAUUACAUGUUACUUAUGUAAGUUAUACUCCAUAAUGUUGAUGAAUAAUUAAAUGAUGAUUUUAUGAGAUGUUGAUAUAUGUUCCACAAAAAAGAGGCUGAGACUGUGAAAUAACCUGGGGAAAUAACAGGACAGAUAUUAAUUUAUGCAGGCUUUCCCAGAACCUCUGCUAAUGUGGACUAGGGUAAAGUCACUUCUAAUUUUCAUUAAAAAGAGAACAGAAGAUGCCGGAGAUUUAGCUCAGUGUUUUUGCCGCCUGCUGUGCAAGCACAAGGACCCAAGUUCAAGCCCUGGUACCAAAAAAAAAAAACUAUUUAAAAAGAGAACAGGAACUGUUCCAGGUAAACACCUGUUCUGAGUAUCUUGAGGAACAAAUCAAUCCAGGGGCUUCUACACCAUGGAGCUGUCACAGAUCCUGUUGAGAAAGAUUCUCUCUACUUGUGAUAUAAGUAAAAAAAAAAACACAGCGCACAAUAACAAUGACCAACUAAACAUAAAUUGAAAAUUGAAGUCUACAGGUGAACAUAUGGCAUGACUAGGUAUUUUUGACUUGGUAAUUUUGGUCUCUUGAUUGACAGUCAAAACUCCAAAUCCUUUAGCACCCAGUUGUCACGUGCAAUUAGAAAGGACUCCUUGAACCUUCUCUAUGUGAUUUCUCAGCCUGAGAUAACCAGCUUUCCCUCUGAUUCUGAAAUAAAAGCCAGAGAAAUGCCACUGUUCAGGAGUCUCUGAAUUUAAUGAAUUAGUACUAUUUUAACAUGAACAUAUUCUUUGGGAGAAAUCAAUGACAUUUUCCGGAGGUGUCCUCUUGGGAUUUUGCAAAGUGCAAUGGGAAUGGCCCUUGGGAGGUGCUUGGGAGACCACUGGCAGCUAACAGGAAGUAAAGACUGGACAGGAUGACAGAUGGGCUGCACUUGCGCUUGGCCUGCCAGAUGGGGGAGGUGACACUGGAGCCCGGAGUGCCACUGUUACGUCACCUUGGAACUGAGGCAACCUACCAAAGCAGCUUGUCUAAAUUCACACCACUCCAAGUGAAUACAGUCUCUGAGAACCAUCUGGGCAAAGGAUACCUUGAUGUGUGCUCUGCUCAAAAACAGUUUCUGUUCUGUUGUGACCCCACUAAAAGUAUUCAUUAAAACACGCUAGGACAAUCCGCAUGGGUAGAGCUUGGAAACCUCAAACCCAGAAAUAAAAUUAAAAAUGACUAAUGCCUAUGUUUGCUUAUUGUGCCAGAAACGUCAUCCUGGAGUUGGGCAGAAAAUCUUCAUCUGUAGCACCUUGAAAUAUUGUAUGGAAAUAUAAUUAUUUUAAACGUUCCUGCCAUUUAAACUUAUAUAGUCUUUUCAAAUAAAGAGAUUUCUCCAACAGGACCCAG